CUUUCACAGUGUAUAGCCUUGCAUCAUCUCACAUUUGCUCUGGGAAGUUUCCGGUGUGCAGUGGUGAGUGCAGAGACGCAAGCUGGUCCAGUGCGGAAACUUUCCUCUGUCCUUAGAUACCUUCCUAAAACUAAUGUGGACUUCUGAGUACCCAUCCGAGUAACGAAGAUGACACUGGCGGAGAGACUGAAAUAUUUACUGUUUGGAUCUUGCAGAAGAUGUCUUCUGAUGCUGUUAUGACUUGUUUCCUGGUAAUUCAGCUAUAGUAGUGUUGGCCGGGGUGCUCCAAGCAGAGACAGAGCUCACAGUAAACAGUAAACCUUAAGGAGACCUUGACUACACUGCAUAUAAGAAGAUCCAUUUGGAGUGACUCGCUGCUUUAUUUUGAGGUUCCAGAUGGGAGGAACGUUCUAAGCCUGCAAGGAAGAGACUGAAGGAUUGAAGGAAGAGAAUCAGCUGUGGCGGGCUCUUGGUAGUCCUUUUGCUGUCUAAGAAGCGUUUAGAACAGUUGGACAUGCUGGAAGCAAUAAUCUAAUUCUGCUUUUGGGAGGUAAAAGGAGCUUUUUUAAAAAAGUGCCUAAGUUGUUUGAGCUGCUGUGCUAAAAGUUCUUCAUGGGGCUGGUGAGAUGGCUCAGUGAGUAAGAGCACCCGACUGCUCUUCCGAAGGUCUGGAGUUCAAAUCCCAGCAACCACAUGGUGGCUCACAACCAUCCUAACGAGAUCUGACUCCCUCUUCUGGAGUGUCUGAAGACAGCUACAGUGUACUUACAUAUAAAUAAAU
rnacentral:lncRNA from 1 species